rnacentral:rRNA from 1 species
UUCGCCUAUUAAAGCGGUACGUGAGCUGGGUUCAGAACGUCGUGAGACAGUUUGGUCCCUAUCUUUUGCAAGCGCAAGAAACUUGAGGAGGUCUAUCCCUAGUACGAGAGGACCGGGAUGGCGGAGCCUCCAGUGCAUCGGCUGUGGUGCCAACUGCAAGGUCGAGUAGCUGUGCUCCGUGUGGAUAAGCGCUGAAAGCAUAUAAGCGCGAAGCCCUCUCCAAGAUUAGGUUUCUCAUCCAGCAAUGGAGUAAGACCCCUGGGAGACUACCAGGUUGAUAGGCCAGAGGUGUAAGCAUGGCAACAUGUUCAGCUGACUGGUACUAAUAGGUCGAGGACUUGACGGU